AUAUGGACUAAUAACAGUGAUCUUACAACAUUAAAAUACAUAUUAUAUUGUCAUAAAUUGGUCCUCACGAAGACAUAUGUGUUCUUCAAUCAUCUUCGUUUGACGCCGACAGUGACUCCUUCAGGAUCUUCUGAAACGGAACACGUUAUGGUUUUUCGUGAUAAAUUUGAACGUCUACUACGAGUUCUUCAAUGCGUUGCGUCGGUGAGGCUGAGGGAUAUCGGGUAUAAAUAUGUCAGUAUUUCUCUUCAGGAAAGCAUCCUCUUCAUCUCUCUCUUAUAGUUUACUAAUUCACUGUUUGAUGGCUAACUCCGAUUUGAAGUCCGGCGAGUGUUCAUCCGCCGGAGAGUAAUAAGAAUUCUGUGAACGUUCUUCUGAGACAGGCAUUGCAUGUGUUUCUGCAGGUGAUUGCUAUGUUGAAUCCAGCACAAGUUCUCAAGCUUCUUAAUUCCCCUCUACCAAUACUACAAUCUAGGUGAGACUUUUGAAGAUGUAUUGUGGAUCUUGAAAUGGUAAUUUUUUUUACUGCAGGGGUGCGGUUUUAGCCUGUGUGAUUCCGCGGAUAAAGUGUCUGUUACUUACUCCCCAAGAGUCAUCCUUGCUCGCUUUGAACUCCAUGUAUCAGGUUAGGAGCUACAUAUUGCAUCUCUGUUAGUAAAACUGAAAGCUGGAAUAGAUAAAUGAUCGAUGUCUAUUUUAUUGGUUGUGUAUCAACCCUUCACACUGCCGUACAAGUUUCAAGCAGCUUAGACUUGCUUGUGGACAAUUUAGAUUAAGAAGAAGCAGGUCCUGUGAUCUAUGAGGACAAGGACACUGAUGAUGAAGAAGGAGAAGACCAAAUGAAGCAAUGGAAACAGAUGAAGAAGAUGCAGACGAAUCAGAGGAUGAAGCAGCUGAUUGUGUCAAUUAAUUUGAAGAUUUUGACAUGAGCGAUUGAAGACUUCCUGAAAACGGAACCGGGGUUUUGAUUUUGGAGGCUGUUUGGUUGGUUAGAUGUUUAAUGUCUCCGCACGGAAUCCCUAAUACGUAAUGGUUGUAUUUAUUUGUACUGAAAACAAGAGUUUUAUUUUUACACA